GACGAACGCUGGCGGCGUGCUUAACACAUGCAAGUCGAACGAAGUGGCGAACGGGUGAGUAACGCGUAAUCAACCUGCCCUUCAGAGGGGGACAACAGUUGGAAACGACUGCUAAUACCGCAUACUGAAGGAGGGGAUUGCGUCUGAUUAGCUAGUUGGAGGGGUAACGGCCCACCAAGGCGAUGAUCAGUAGCCGGUCGGAGAGGAUGAACGGCCACAUUGGGACUGAGACACGGCCCAGACUCCUACGGGAGGCAGCAGUGGGGGAUAUUGCACAAUGGGCGAAAGCCUGAUGCAGCGACGCCGCGUGAGUGAAGAAGGUUUUCGGAUCGUAAAACUCUGUUGUUAGAGAAGCGGUAUCUAACCAGAAAGCCACGGCUAACUACGUGCCAGCAGCCGCGGUAAUUC
rnacentral:rRNA from 1 species